rnacentral:rRNA from 1 species
CCGGCGACCGCGUAUCCAACCUUCCCUUUACCCGGGGAUAGGCCUUUCGAAAGAGAGAUUAAUACCCGAUGGUUUCGGGUUCGCAUGAGACCUUGAAUAAAGAUUUAUCAGUAAAGGAUGGGGAUGCGUUCCAUUAGGUAGUAGGCGGGGUAACGGCCCAUCUAGCCGACGAUGGAUAGGGGUUCUGAGAGGAAGGUCCCCCACAUUGGAACUGAGACACGGUCCAAACUCCUACGGGAGGCAGCAGUGAGGAAUAUUGGUCAAUGGACGAGAGUCUGAACCAGCCAAGUAGCGUGAAGGAAGACUGCCCUAUGGGUUGUAAACUUCUUUUAUAUGGGAAUAAAAAAAGUCCACGUGUGGAUUCUUGUAUGUACCAUAUGAAUAAGCAUCGGCUAAUUCCGUGCCAGCAGCCGCGGUAAUACGGA